rnacentral:rRNA from 1 species
GCGUAACGCGUAUGCAACCUACCUUAAUCUGGGGGAUAGCCCGGAGAAAUCCGGAUUAAUACCGCAUAAAAUCACAGGAUGGCAUUAUCCAAUGAUCAAACAUUUAUGGGAUUGAGAUGGGCAUGCGUGUCAUUAGCUAGUUGGCGGGGUAACGGCCCACCAAGGCGACGAUGACUAGGGGAUCUGAGAGGAUGGCCCCCCACACUGGUACUGAGACACGGACCAGACUCCUACGGGAGGCAGCAGUAAGGAAUAUUGGUCAAUGGAGGCAACUCUGAACCAGCCAUGCCGCGUGCAGGAAGACUGCCCUAUGGGUUGUAAACUGCUUUUAUCCGGGAAUAAACCUUUCUACGUGUAGGAAGCUGAAUGUACCGGAAGAAUAAGGAUCGGCUAACUCCGUGCCAGCAGCCGCGGUAAUACGGAGGAUCCAAGCGUUAUCCGGAUUUAUUGGGUUUAAAGGGUGCGUAGGCGGCCUGUUAAGUCAGGGGUGAAAGACGGUAGCUCAACUAUCGCAGUGCCCUUGAUACUGAUGGGCUUGAAUGGACUAGAGGUAGGCGGAAUGAGACAAGUAGCGGUGAAAUGCAUAGAUAUGUCUCAGAACACCGAUUGCGAAGGCAGCUUACUAUGGUCUUAUUGACGCUGAGGCACGAAAGCGUGAGGAUCAAACAGGAUUAGAUACCCUGGUAGUCCACGCCCUCAACGAUGAACACUCGCUGUUGGCGAUACACAGUCAGCGGCUAAGCGAAAGCGUUAAGUGUUCCACCCUGGGGAGUA